UUGAGUGCCUGUGCAUGACACCCAUGUCUGAAGAAUAUUCUGAUAUGAGCAUGAUGAUAUGACUCUCAAAGAACACUUUCAAUAAAGGAAAGAACUUGGAAAAGAGAACUGAACAUACCCAUGUUCAACAUAUACCCACAUCUCAGAAUCACAUUUGAGUCCGAGUAACAUAGCUUUUAGUUGCAAAAUGCAUGAAAGAUUGAGCUGAUGGACGUUUGUUUUUCUAUUUUGUUUUGGUCUUAUAGCAACGGAGAUGUACGCGUAAAUUGGACAACUGUCACAAAAAAUGGAACAACUCUCAAGACCGGUGACAUUGUCUCUGUUAGUGGGAAAGGAAGACUAAAGAUUGGAGAAAUUAACAGUACAAAGAAGGGAAAGUUUUCUGUGGAACUCAUUCGGUAUUUGUAGGGUUUUAGAAGACAAGCAAUUGAGUAAAAGGAUGAUUUGGAGUUUAGGCAAUUGAGGAUACACAUUGUGAUGUUUCUAACUAAACAAGGGAUUCUCAAAUAUCAGAAGCCAUAGAAAAGAAAAAAAGGAAUUGCAUUACAAGGAGUCUGGCUCAUGUAUCAAAGCUGUGAAUUCCAAGACAAAUGCCAGCUUCUUGCAUGGCAUCUGAGGGUCAUAGGAAAACUCAACACUUGAGUGCAUUAGAGGCAUCCAGAAUAUUCAUAUAAUUUCUUUUAAUAAUCAAUCAUUUUGGUUUUAUGUAUUUAGUAUUAAUUGUAUUGUUAAAAUAUUGGAAUUUGAAUAAUAUAUGAUGAUUCAAAAAAACAAUAUUUUAUUAAUAAAUAUUGAAAAUAAUUAAAAUUUCAA